GGCCCUGCCCAGAGCUGCUUGUUCAAGAUCCGUGUUCCAAGCCGCCAGCUCGCACCCUGCCAUCGCCAACAGCCGCCUCAGCGCUCCCGGUGCAGCGUUUUCGGCCACUUGCAAAGAGCGUGUUCUUCGAAGGGAAAAAACCCCAGGAUCUUGGUUAAAACGAGAUUAUAAUGGAGGGUAAAUAAAGCAACAGGAGCUGCGCUUUGUUUGUAAUGCCAGCGCCAACCUGUCGUCAGUUAUGUUCAUUUACAGCGUGUUGAAGGAUGAGAUGUGGCUUCGCGUCAGGUGCUUGUUUCAAACAAGUGAGAUAAAUACGUGUUGGUUUCAUUCACGGUAAGCAAAACUCGGUACAGCUCCCACCUUCUGAGGGUAGGGAAGGCAGAAGGCACAGAGCAGAGGCCACAAGAAGAAAGCAGCAGAAGCAGAGCUGGAAUCCACGUCUCAUCCCUCCCUCUUCAGCACGACUGCCUGCUCCUGGAGUGGAUUCAGCCUCUGGUCAGGAAAGUGCCACAAACUCAGGUUUCCACUCUAAAGAUCCACAGUUCCUGUUAACAGCUUUGUGUUCACUCUCCUUUGCAAGACUGAACCCAGGUUUUCUUGGUUUUAAGUGUUUUCCUCCACCCUCCGUAAAAGCCAAUUUUCACUACAACGAAGGGUUAACCGCUCCCAACCUGUUGUAACUGGUUAGUGACUUCUCCCAAAGCUUCUGGCUUCAUUUCAGGCCAUUCAAAACUUGCUGGUUCACUAAUCAGGGCUCCAUCCUUCUGAAAGGGUGCUUUAAUCCACACAGGAGUGCGUGCACCCCCACUUGUUUUCCCUGUUGUGGCAUCAGGAGAGUUUCAGAACAGGUCUAGCACAGCAUGAGCUUUCUUACCUAGAAGGGAAAGUUAUUCCCAGAAAUCUCUUCAUAGCUCUUUUCUUCUUGUCCUGUUUGGCCAGGUUUUUCCUGAGGUGACGGCAAGCUUUGCCACCUGCUGAGGCAGCACCCAGUGGUCCUGGCACACACACAGAAAGAUGUGCUUUCCCCUUUAUGUUUCAAACUAAGUGUUUAUGUGGGGAUAAGCCCAGAGCUUGACAAAAGAGAACUUCCAGCCACUCGCUGUGCUGCAGCCUGGCAUCUUCACUGGGCUUUGGCAGCUUGUGACAAGCUUCUAAAAGGUGAAAUACAACCAUCUCCUCUGGUUGUGGCUCCAGAUCUAUUAGGCAAGUACCACCUGUACCUCUUUGCUAACAUGUCUUAAGAUGCAUCUCGUGGAGUUUUGCCAUCAGGUGCAUCCUCUGAGGUUCUGCUUCAGAGGAGAUGCCAGAGUGAGCUCCAACAGCAGAUGAACAGGGCAGGCCUGAGAGAACUGUGAUGAUAGCAUAGUUUAUGCCAAAUACCAUUCUCCUCCCCCCCCGCAGGGUGAAGAGCCUGGGGCAGUGGCAGAGCUGAUAGAGCUGGAAAUAGCGAUUUCCACCAGAAAGGAAGCUGCCAUUUGGGUUCCAAAUUUUCAUAUAGUGAGUAACUUGUCAGAACAGAACUGACUCAGCUUCUGCGGCGACACUCAAGGGAGGAACGCAGCAGCUCAGAUGACGGGACCGGCUGCAGGUAAGUCUUCAAGUGUUCCGGUUUUGCUGAGUUUUACCUGCAGACAAGGGGCUUCAGUUUCCUUCUUCCUUUUAAAUUGAAGCUCAAAAAGGUAAAAUGGGGAUAAAAGACACACAAGGCAAUGUCCCAUUAAAGCAGAUCCUAUUUGGGAAGAUAAUACAGUCAGCAUCCUCCUUGACUGCACCAUGCAGUGAAAACCACCUGUCCCAGGCCAAGGAACCAACAUUCUGGCAGGAGCCCUCACCCUGGCCCCAGGUACAGCGGGAUCCAUCCCUGCUCCCUGUGUGCGGCAGCUUCCAAGGCCAGGCUGGUGCUGCGCUGCUUGCAGGGAGGCUGAAGGAAUCAGUGUUCUACAGAGCACUGGAAGAAGUAAAAUUAAGCUUUAUUUCAAAACUCCUCUACUCCAGAAGCCGAGAGAUCCCAAAGGCCAAAGGGAACAUGCUGGGUCUCUCCCAGCCCAGGAGUUAGUGUGGGUACAGCUUCAGGAAGCAGCACUGGUGGAAUGUGCACAUCCUGCUCCUGCUGGAGAACUACAAACACUGACCCACACGUUGUACAAGCCUGACAACAGUGAGAGCUUCACUGCAGGGAGCAAUUAAAGACACUUGCAGGGACAGACAGUAGA